rnacentral:rRNA from 1 species
ACAGAGGGUGCAAGCGUUAAUCGGAAUUACUGGGCGUAAAGCGCACGUAGGCGGCUUGGCAAGUUGGGUGUGAAAUCCCCGGGCUCAACCUGGGAAUUGCAUUCAAGACUGCCUUGCUCGAGUUUGGUAGAGGGAAGCGGAAUUCCAGGUGUAGCGGUGAAAUGCGUAGAUAUCUGGAGGAACAUCAGUGGCGAAGGCGGCUUCCUGGCCCAAAACUGACGCUGAGGUGCGAAAGCGUGGGGAGCAAACAGGA